UCCUACUACCCGGGCCUGAGCAAGGCCAGUGUCACCCUGCCACAGUGACGCCGCACCGCUUCCAUCGCCGACGAAACCACGGAGCGCGCCCGCGGCGGAUAAAAUUUGGGCGCGGGCGGGAAGGAGACACGCGCGGACGACGAGAGAGAGACCCCCACAGACCGGUCCAAACCCCACCACCCACGCCCCUCCCCCAAAACUCCGCGCCGCCGCCGCCGCCGCCGCCGGUCGCCAUGGAGAGGAAGCAGGCCGACUACAGCAACCUGGACGAGAGGUACACGAUCCAGGGGGAGAGGUACCAGGGCCAGCAGUACAGCCACAUCUACUACACCCGCCUCCACCACAUGCGCACCCUCCUCCACGCCCUCGUCCCCUCCCGGAAGCCGCACCUCCCCGUCACUACGGUGCUCGGACUCGAAGAGGGAAAAGAUUGUGUGCUUGUUGGGACUUUAUACAAGCACAUGAAACUGAAGCCUUCUAUUCUCGAUGAAUACUCAAAGGAGAGGUCGGCAAUCCCUCUUGUUAAGCCACACAAUUUCAUGCACUCUGACGAUAAUCUUAUUCUGGAAGAUGAAAGUGGAAGAGUUGCACUUGCAGGAGCCAUACCUCCAGCAGCCUAUGUGACUGGAGUUGUAGUAGCUCUUCACGGGAAGGAAACAAGUGCUGGCAACUUUCUUGUUGAAGAUGUCAUGGAGGCUGGUCUUCCUCCUCAAACUGUGUUGCCUAGCAUAAAUGAGGACAAGUAUGUUGUUUUUGUGUCGGGAUUAAGUGUUGGGAGCAGCACAUUCAAUCCUCUGCAGUUCCAACUUCUUAUUGACCAUAUCACUGGGCAUUUGGGUGAUGAGAAUGAGCAAGCCAUAGCAUCAAAGAUAGUUCGUGUUGUGGUUGCUGGAAAUUCAGUACAUAUUGCACCAAAGUUCUUGAAUGGCCAGACAGUAGCUGCAAAAGAUCAACCAAGGAUAGCUGAGCCAAUCAAAGAACUGGAUAUAAUGCUGACUCAGCUGGUGGCAUCAUUACCUGUAGAUAUAAUGCCAGGGUGUAAUGAUCCAGCGAAUUUUGCUUUGCCUCAGCAGCCUUUGCAUAGAUGCCUUUUCUCUGGAGCAUCCACCUACAAUACAUUUUCAUCAUGUCCGAAUCCACAUCAAUUCGAUCUUGACAAUGUCAAGUUUAUUGGAACAUCUGGGCAGAACAUAGAUGACCUCUACAGGUACUCGGAUGCCAAAGAUCGGCUGGAAUUCAUGGAAAGGACAUUGAAAUGGCGCCAUCUUGCUCCGACUGCACCGAACAGCCUAGGAUGUUAUCCAUACACAGACAAGGACCCUUUCCUCAUCGAAACUUGCCCCCAUGUUUACUUUGUCGGGAAUCAAGACAGAUACGAGACUCGAUUGUUGAAAGGAACGGAAAAGCAGCAGGUCAGGCUAAUCAGCAUUCCAAGAUUUUGUGAGAGUGGAAUCGCUGUCAUGCUCAACUUGAGGAACUUGGAAUGCAGCACCUUGAGCUUCUCAACAAGCUUCGACGCCUGACUCUGCUCCAUGCAUGGAGUGCACACAAGAAGGUUCUGUUGUAGCGCUACUAUGCAGAUCCAAAUCUUGAAUUUUAAGGUUUCACGAGGGAACAAGCUAUUGUGUUACCCGUAGAGGCUCAUGUAAGGGCUACCUGUAUCUGUAGCUUAGCAGCUCAUUGUUAGAUGUGAUGACCUAGGUUUGGUAGCCCUGUGCUUGGUUGUAGCUAAGAAACAAAUAGAAGAAGCUCAUGCUUCUAUUCCCAGUUUUCUUGUGUAGUAUGCCUGUCUGGAAGCACACCGGCAGGUAUGGCCAGGAGUGCAUAUUCACAUUCUCGUUGGUGCAAAUGGUCACCUGUUUUAUCCAUACAUGUACUACCUUGAGAAACAGGAGCACUCCUUAGGUCGGAAUUCUCAUCAAGAAAUAGAACUAUUUGUUCCCGCAAAAAAAGAAAGAGAAACAAAACUACUCCCUCCGUUCCUAAAUAUUUGUCUUUCUAGACAUUUCAAAUGACUACUACAUACGGAUGUAUGUAGACAUAUUUUAAAGUGUAGAUUCACUCACUUUGCUCCGUAUGUAGUUACUUGUUGAAAUGCAAAGACAAGUAUUUAGGAAUGGAGGGAGUAUUUUUCUCUUCGAGAGCCCCUCCUGAUCCUGAAACCCCAAAACCUGUGGUCGCAGCUCGUCAUCGCACGCAGCAAAGUGCCAAAACCAGAGCAGGAGCUGGGCCGACUAGACUACUGAACCAAUCCGCGCGCCCUCGCCCUGCUCCCCCCUCUGUCGCCAUGGCCGCCGCACUCUCCUCCCCCCACCUCGCCGCGACCCUGCCGUCUCUCCGGCCCCCUGCCCGCCGGCCUUCGCGCGCGGCCUCUCUACUCCCGCCCCGGGGCGCCCGCAUCGCCCUCCGUCGCUCCUCCAGGCAUCCUUACCCUUCGUCAAGAAAUUCUGGAUGGUUUGAGAAUGCGGCAAGGAAGAAAGCUCUGUUUGCAUCAGAGACAGAUUCCCCUAGCACCGAGGUUUCAAAACAGAGCAGCACCGGCGACGCCAACUCUUCUCCACAUGGCCCGCCAGUCCUGACCAUUUUGGCCGGUAUCGCUGUGUUCUUCCUGCUCUUGUGGGUCAUCGGAUCGAUCUUCACCUGGAUCGUCGGUCUCGUCUUCGGGGCUGCGAAAUCUUAGGUGUUUAUCAAUGUUAGGAUAGUUCUGCACCUUUUCAGUUGUAUAUACACUUGUCCCCGGCUGCUGUUUGAUGAUAGCCCUGGAUCAUUGCAUCCUCUGCUGUCAUUUCCAUCCGAGAUUCUUGAAUAAUUGUAUUACAUAUUCCUAGCCAAAAGUCACGGAUUACCACACUGUUAUUUCUAGCCAUAUCUUGGCUCAUGACAGCAAGUGUUGUUAUUUUGGAGAAA